GAACCACUAGGUGGCAGCAUAUGAGCAGGUGAACCAAAGAAAACCAACUGCCUCCGGUUUUAGGGGCCUUUGCACCAAUACCAUCCCACAGCACCUGGCACCUCAGACAGGCUGCGAGGAUGGAAGCAGCAUCAGGUAAAUUAUACCUAACAAGGUUCAUGCCCAGAACUGUGAGAAGAGUUGGAUCCCAGCUCUUUGGAAGACAAUCCUUCCUCCAGUGGUGAAGUUGAGCUGCACACACAAUGCAGGAGGGCUACAGAGCACAGUUCUAAACCAUUAUUUCCAUGCUGAUAAAUUCAUGAUUUAUGAAAGGAACUACUGCCAGCCCUCACUCCCUCCUUCUCUGCUACAGCUUGUUAGACACAAAUUGCAACAACAAUCUUAAAUACUUGCAUUUUAUUUCAGGCCAAAGCCCCUCCACUCUGAACUAAAUGCCAUGACAGUCCCAGAGCAUAGGCUGGUAGUAAAAGAGCCCACAGACAGGGUAGGAUAGCGAGAGGAGGGAGGAGUGGGCGAGAGGCAGGGGAAGAAUCACACACGCAAACCUAAGAGUAAAGCAAUGCAGAACGCCUGUGGCAAUCGGCUCCUACCAGCUCUGGCUCUCAGUGGAGAUGAAGAAUGGCAGCAGGAGGAGAGAAUGCCUCAUUGUCUGAAGGAGAGCGUGUUGUUCCUCAUCUCCAUCCCCAGAGCCCUCUCUUUCAGGCAGGCAGAAACAAAGCCCUCGCACCCCCACUGGACUGCUCAAUACAGCAGAGAUGCUCGUGGUGGAAGCCAAGCCCUGCAGGCAGGGAGCUGUUACCAAAGGAGAAGAAAAGGAUUCAAAAAAGAAAGGAGCCCACUCUAACCCUGCAGAAAAGAUAGCCACGUCUCAGCUUUAUAACCAGAAGAGACAGUGACAGCCCCGACAGUCUUUUCCAAAAUAAAGGCCCCUGGGCUGUUGUUGUUCCUUCUGGCUGUGGCCAGCCACUUCUCUCUCAGGCAUGACCAUGAGCUGUUGUGCAGGUCUCAGGCUCCACUCAGCCAGGCUAAGGUCUCGGGACAUAAAUCCCCAGCAGCAGAAGUCACAGCACCAGUUCCAUUCAGUGGUA